GUUGUAUGGUUAAGUGACUAAGCGUACACGGUGGAUGCCUUGGCAGUCAGAGGCGAUGAAAGACGUAGUAACUUGCGAUAAGCCCAGAUUAGGUAGUAACAACCAUUGAGUCUGGGAUUUCUGAAUGGGGAAACCCACUUACAUAAGUAAGUAUCAUUAACUGAAUACAUAGGUUAAUGAGGCGAACCGGGGGAACUGAAACAUCUAAGUACCCCGAGGAAAAGAAAUCAACCGAGAUUCCGAAAGUAGCGGCGAGCGAAAUUGGACUAGCCCUUAAGCUUUACACGCGUUAGACGAACGGUCUGGAAAGUCCGACGAUACAGGGUGAUAGUCCCGUAGUUGACGACGUGUGUUCAGUGAAAUCGAGUAGGGCGGGACACGUGAUAUCCUGUCUGAAUAUGGGGGGACCAUCCUCCAAGGCUAAAUACUACUGACUGACCGAUAGUGAACCAGUACCGUGAGGGAAAGGCGAAAAGAAC
rnacentral:rRNA from 1 species